UAGCACCUUAUGAUGAAAAUGUAUAAGUGGACUAAUCUACAUACGACAUUAAUUAUCAUUGAAAUGAAUCAACAAUCAUUGAGAUCUAUAAUAUAUUAAAUUGCUUCAAAACAAAGCCGUAUUGAAUUCAAUUUUCUUUACUAUGAGAAGAGUAGGUCUAGAUAAUGUUGCACUAAUGCUGCCUAGUACUAACUAGAUACAAAAAAAGGGAAAAAAACUAAGAAGGUCUUAACAUGAAAGUCUAAGCUAUUUAACAGCUGGUGAUCAAUGUGUUGUAUAGGAUGCAUCUCUCCAUGCUUCUUUUUUAUUAUCUUGAUGGAUGUUAGUGGUUGAGCUCCUCCGCUCAAAAUAAGGUCUAAAAAAAAUUUGCAAAGAAGCUUGUUAUUGUUAUACAUUGUCUCAUGGGCAUAUGGCUUGAGUGUAGAAGGGCUUCGUUAUUAUUAUAUAUGGGAGUCAUGGAUGCAUGGCUUGAUCUUUUCCAUGACUGUAGAAGGGGCAUUUCAAAUGGAACAUGAACAUUCUAAUUUUUAUUAGUUGCUUUACAAAUGGAACAUGGGCCAAUUCAAAUGGCAUUACAAAUUAUCUUCCACAAUCGAUAGUGAGACGCCUCGUCUCUAAUUUUUUAUUGUGC
rnacentral:lncRNA from 1 species